rnacentral:rRNA from 1 species
CCAAUAGCGUAUAUUAAAGUUGUUGCAGUUAAAAAGCUCGUAGUUGAAUUUCGGGAUUAGCAGGUCGGUCGUGCCACUGGUACGUACUGGUCUUGCUGAUUCCUCCCUCUUGACGAGCCGUAAUGCCAUUAAUUUGGUGUUGCGGGGAAUCAGGACUGUUACUUUGAAAAAAUUAGAGUGUUUAAAGCAGGCAUGCGCUUGAAUACAUUCGCAUGGAAUAAUGAAAUAGGACGUUCGAUCUUAUUUUGUUGGUUUCUAGGAUUGACGUAAUGAUUAAUAGGGAUAGUUGGGGGAAUUAGUAUUCAAUUGUCAGAGGUGAAAUUCUUGGAUUUAUUGAAGACUAACUACUGCGAAAGCAUUUGCCAAGGAUGUUUUCAUUAAUCAAGAACGAAAGUUAGGGGAUCGAAGACGAUCAGAUACCGUCGUAGUCUUAACCAUAAACUAUGCCGACUAGGGAUCGGAUGAUGUUAAUUUUUUAAUGACUCAUUCGGCGCCUUACG